UGUGCCUGGGAGGGCUGCAUUCCAGAGCACCAUUUCAUUCUCUUGCGCUCUCCUCGAUAUGGACUACAACUACUCAUUACAUAUUUCAACGUACAGCUUUUUGACUUUUUGUAUGCUCGGAAAUCCUUUCCACUUGGACUUAUCGAAGUGAAGAGUCAGGCAACCAACUAAAAGGAAACCUAAACCAACAGGUGGAUGCUGUGGUGGCCAAGUUCCUCUGAGUUUGAUUGACAGGCCAAGAUGGAGCUGAAGGUGUGGGUGGAGGGCGUGGUCAGGGUGGUGUGCGGCCUAUCGCUGGAGACUUCCUGUCAGGAUGUGGUCAUCGCCCUCGCACAGGCUAUUGGUCAGACGGGUCGCUAUGUUCUCAUCAAGAAGCUACGAGGCACAGAGAUGCAGCUUGUGGCUGAUGACUGUCCCUUAGAGUCUCUGUCCUAUCUGGGUCAGCUGGCCAACGAGGUCCAGUUCAUCUUGCGUCGUACGGGCCCCUCCAGCACUGACGGACCUAACAGACCCACCCUGGAUAGGGUCCAUCCUUUGCCCAGGCACCCUACACCCGUGCCCCACAGAUGCCGAGAGCCGAAGAAGGCCCUCACCUUCAACCUUGGUCCUUCUACAAUCCCCAGAAGGACUAAAGCUAACAAGGCCUGGUCACCUAGUCCAAGAGCCUCACCAGAGCCCAGGGCCUCGCCUGUUCUGUCCCUGGUCUCCCCUUCCCCAACCGCCUCCCCUCCCUCGCUCUCCUUGUCCGACGCGUCCAAGGAGGUGGUCUUCAGGCAGGUGCUGCAGCAGCAGGAGAUGCUACAGGACCUGGAGGCCCAGCUGGUGGCUUUGGAAAGGGAUGCAGAGGUGUGGGAGUUGGGGAGGCCUGUAACUCCUGUCCCAGGCCUGACUCCGGGCCUAGUGGAGGAGCUGGAUGUGCUGGAGACAAGGCUGAGGCAGAAUGAGGCAGAGCUGAUGCAUGGGGAGUACUGGGAGGAGCAGAUGCAGCAAGAGAAGGACAAGGAGCAGGAUAUGCACGGACGUCUGCCCCAACUCUACGCCUCUAUGGAUGAAUACAGCUUCCGGCUCAAGGACCUCCAGACCCAUUCAUCCAGGCUGGGGCAGGACUUUCGGGUCGAAUCCCACAGACGGAACUCUCGUCCAGGCACCCCGCAGCCAGAGGAGGCCCUGGGACCACUGAGGGAGGAGCUACACAAUCGGCUUCAGCAGGGGGUGGAGCUGGACAUGUCAUUGACAGAGACGGAGAAAGCAUUGCAGGCUGCAGAAUUACAGUUGCAGGAGAGUUGUCAGGAGCUGGAGGAGCUGAACAAGGAGCUGAGGCAGUGUAACCUGCAGCAGUUCAUCCUGCAGACGGGUGUUCCGCCUACCCCCUCUUACUCAGACCUCCCCCUCCCCAACCAGACACACCCCCACCUCCACCCCAUCGCCAUGCCUUACCUCUGCAUAGCAGGACUACUGGAGGAUGACCAGACUGACACUGUGACUGUAUGCUAGGUAUGCUAAUAUGCUAAUAGCCAUGGGUGACAUGUUUCAUUGGAACAUUUAUUCCUACCUAACCUAUUCCCAAUGGCUUUAGCCGGAAGAGGUCCCGGGACUCUGAGAGAGGAGCUACACCGCUGGCUGCAGCACAGAGAGGCGCUGGACAUGUCACUUGCUGACUCAUCCUGUCAGCAAAAAGCUCAUGGGAGCGUCUGGAUGACUAUCUGAUUGCACUGUGUGUGUGUGUGUGUUUGUGUGUGUGUGUGUGUGUGUGUGUGUAUGUGUGUGUAAUCUAUAGCCAGUGGAUUAGUUGACUUUUAACACACUAUAUGCAACAUUCUAGUAUUAAUGUACAGUGAGGGAAAAAAGUAUUUGAUCCCCUGCUGAUUUUGUACGUUUGCCC